rnacentral:tRNA from 1 species
CAAUUGGUUGGACCGUAGGUGCGAUGAUUUACUUCACGGGCGAGGUCUCUGGUUCAAAUCCAGGGUGGCCCA